UUUGGUCAGCCAUAUCACCCUGCAACUCACAACUGGCAACCCACUGAAGCUAAACAGGUGUGAGCCUGGUGAGUACCUGGAUGGGAGACCUCCUGGGAAAAACUAAGGUUGCUGCUGGAA
rfam:Lepisosteus oculatus linkage group LG25, whole genome shotgun sequence.